CAGUUCGGAUUGUAGGCUGCAACUCGCCUACAUGAAGUCGGAGUUGCUAGUAAUCGCGAAUCAGAAUGUCGCGGUGAAUGCGUUCCCGGGUCUUGUACACACCGCCCGUCACACCAUGGGAGUUGGCAAUACCCGAAGCCGCCGAUCUAACCGCAAGGAGGAAGGCG
rnacentral:rRNA from 1 species